rnacentral:tRNA from 1 species
CAAAUUAGAACUUGUUAUAAGUAUUUUAUUUACAUUAAAAAGAAAUUUGUUAAAUCAAUUUAAUUUGA